rnacentral:rRNA from 1 species
UACGAGGGCCCCGAGCGUUGUUCGGAUUUACUGGGCGUAAAGAGUGCGUAGGCGGUAACGUAAGUCAGAUGUGAAAUCUCUGGGCUCAACCCGGAAACUGCAUCCGAUACUGCGUUACUAGAGGGCUGGAGAGGAGACUGGAAUUCACGGUGUAGCAGUGAAAUGCGUGGAUAUCGUGAGGAAGACCAAUGGCGAAGGCAGGUCUCUGGACAGCUCCUGACGCUGAGGCACGAAGGCCAGGGUAGCGAAAAGG